UACGGAAGGUCCGGGCGUUAUCCGGAUUUAUUGGGUUUAAAGGGAGCGUAGGCCGGCUUUUAAGUCAGCUGUGAAAGUCCGCGGCUCAACCGUGGAAUUGCAGUUGAAACUGGAGGCCUUGAGUGCACACAGGGAUGCCGGAAUUCAUGGUGUAGCGGUGAAAUGCAUAGAUAUUACACAGAACACCGAUUGCGAAGGCAGCUUGCUAGGCCGGAUCUGACACUGAUGCACGAAAGCGUGGGGAUCGAACAGG
rnacentral:rRNA from 1 species